GAUGAACGCUGGCGGCGUGCCUAAUACAUGCAAGUCGAGCGAACAGACGAGGAGCUUGCUCCUCUGACGUUAGCGGCGGACGGGUGAGUAACACGUGGAUAACCUACCUAUAAGACUGGGAUAACUUCGGGAAACCGGAGCUAAUACCGGAUAAUAUAUUGAACCGCAUGGUUCAAUAGUGAAAGACGGUUUUGCUGUCACUUAUAGAUGGAUCCGCGCCGCAUUAGCUAGUUGGUAAGGCAACGGCUUACCAAGGCAACGAUGCGUAGCCGACCUGAGAGGGUGAUCGGCCACACUGGAACUGAGACACGGUCCAGACUCCUCCGGGAGGCAGCAGUAGGGAAUCUUCCGCAAUGGGCGAAAGCUUGACGGAGCAACGCCGCGUGAGUGAUGAAGGUCUUCGGAUCGUAAAACUCUGUUAUUAGGGAAGAACAAAUGUGUAAGUAACUAUGCACGUCUUGACGGUACCUAAUCAGAAAGCCACGGCUAACUACGUG
rnacentral:rRNA from 1 species